rnacentral:rRNA from 1 species
UGGGGAAUAUUGCGCAAUGGGCGAAAGCCUGACGCAGCAACACCGCGUGAGGGAUGACGGCCUUCGGGUUGUAAACCUCUUUCAGCUCCGACGAAGCGAAAGUGACGGUAGGAGCAGAAGAAGCACCGGCUAACUACGUGCCAGCAGCCGCGGUAAUACGUAGGGUGCAAGCGUUAUCCGGAUUUAUUGGGCGUAAAGAGCUCGUAGGCGGUUCGGUAAGUCGGGUGUGAAAACUCUGGGCUCAACCCAGAGAGGCCACUCGAUACUGCUGUGACUAGAGUGCGGUAGGGGAGCGGGGAAUUCCUGGUGUAGCGGUGAAAUGCGCAGAUAUCAGGAGGAACACCAGUGGCGAAGGCGCCGCUCUGGGCCGUAACUGACGCUGAGGAGCGAAAGCAUGGGUAGCAAAGCAGGAUUAGAUACCCUGGUAGUCCACGCCGUAAACGAUGAGUGCUAGUCGUCGGCAGGCAUGCCUGUCGGUGAACGCAGCUAACGCAUUAAGCACUCCGCCUGGGGAGUACGGCCGCAAGGUUAAAACUC